CCUACGGGCGGCAGCAGUAGGGAAUAUUGCUCAAUGGGGGAAACCCUGAAGCAGCAACGCCGCGUGGAGGAUGAAGGUUUUAGGAUUGUAAACUCCUUUUGUGAGAGAAGAUAAUGACGGUAUCUCACGAAUAAGCACCGGCUAACUCCGUGCCAACAGCCGCGGUAAUACGUAGGGAGCAAGCGUUGUCCGGAAUUACUGGGUGUAAAGGGAGCGGAGGGGGGGAUGCAAGAUGGGUGUCAAUACUAACGGCUAAACCGAGAGUCGCACUCGAAACUGCAACUCUUGAGUGUAGUAGAGGCAGGCGGAAUUCCAGGUGUAGCGGUGAAAUGCGUAGAUAUUAGGAGGAACACCAGUGGCGAAGGCGGCCUGCUGGGCUUUUACUGACGCUGAGGCUCGAAAGUGUGGGGAGCAAACAGGAUUAGAUACCCCUGUAGUC
rnacentral:rRNA from 1 species